GAUGAACGCUGGCGGCGUGCCUAAUACAUGCCAGUCGAGCGAACAGAUGAGGAGCUUGCUCCUCUGACGUUAGCGGCGGACGGGUGAGUAACACGUGGAUAACCUACCUAUAAGACUGGGAUAACUUCGGGAAACCGGAGCUAAUACCGGAUAAUAUAUUGAACCGCAUGGUUCAAUAGUGAAAGACGGUUUUGCUGUCACUUAUGGAUGGAUCCGCGCCGCAUUAGCUAGUUGGUAAGGUAACGGCUUACCAAGGCAACGAUGCGUAGCCGACCUGAGAGGGUGAUCGGCCACACUGGAACUGAGACACGGUCCAGACUCCUACGGGAGGCAGCAGUAGGGAAUCUUCCGCAAUGGGCGAAAGCCUGACGGAGCAACGCCGCGUGAGUGAUGAAGGUCUUCGGAUCGUAAAACUCUGUUAUUAGGGAAGAACAAAUGUGUAAGUAACUAUGCACGUCUUGACGGUACCUAAUCAGAAAGCCACGGCUAACUACGUG
rnacentral:rRNA from 1 species